rnacentral:pre_miRNA from 1 species
AGUGGGAUACUGGGUCAAAUGGUGGUUUCAUUCCAAGUUUUCUAAGGAAUCGCCAUACUGCUUUCCAUAGUGGUUGUACCAAUUUGAAGUCCCACCAGCAAU